UGAAAAGUGCAGUUCUAUUACAAUUUUUCAAAAUGAAAUCAUUGUAUUUUCUUGUAAUUUUAUCAAUUUAUGUCGUUCUUAGCAACUGUGCCACUAGCGACGAACUUAGAAGGAGAUGCUUGCAACCGCGAAAUGACCCAAACUGCACCACUACUUCGGAGGCGUAUUUUUACAUCCCUGCUAGAUACCGCUGUCAGCGCCAAAUAUACUCCAAUUGCACAGACGCCAAUAUCACACAUUUUACGAACGCCUCUUCUUGUUAUAGAGCCUGUCGAAUUAUAGAUUAUUAAAUAAACUGUUUUUCUAUACACAUAUGAGAUAAAUAUUAUACCAUAAUAUAACUUUCUUGCAUAAAAAAAAAUACACACUACGCACAGCACUAUAUAUUGUAAUAAAUAUAU